AGUGAACGCUGGCGGUAGGCCUAACACAUGCAAGUCGAACGGCAGCACAGUAAGAGCUUGCUCUUACGGGUGGCGAGUGGCGGACGGGUGAGGAAUACAUCGGAAUCUACUUUUUCGUGGGGGAUAACGUAGGGAAACUUACGCUAAUACCGCAUACGGCCUACGGGUGAAAGCAGGGGAUCUUCGGACCUUUGGCGAUUGAAUGAGCCGAUGUCGGAUUAGCUAGUUGGCGGGGUAAAGGCCCACCAAGGCGACGAUCCGUAGCUGGUCUGAGAGGAUGAUCAGCCACACUGGAACUGAGACACGGUCCAGACUCCUACGGGAGGCAGCAGUGGGGAAUAUUGGACAAUGGGCGCAAGCCUGAUCCAGCCAUACCGCGUGGGUGAAGAAGGCCUUCGGGUUGUAAAGCCCUUUUGUUGGGAAAGAAAAGCAGCAGGUUAAUACCCCGCUGUUCUGACGGUACCCAAAGAAUAAGCACCGGCUAACUUCGUG
rnacentral:rRNA from 1 species